rnacentral:ribozyme from 15 species
AAAAAAAAAUGGAGAAAUAGAUCUCAUUGUUCUUUUUUUUUUUUUUACCAUCUACACUUGCUGAAUUAAUGC